GCCCGGUAGCUCAGUGGUAGAGCUUCUGUUUUUGGUGAGCAAAGGCGCCUAGCUAUAAAUACGAGGAGGUUGCAGGUUCGAAUCCUGUCUGGUGGCU
rnacentral:tRNA from 1 species